CUGCCCUCAACUGCAGAAUUUUUGCUGGGGCUAAGGAAAAGGGAAUCUUUAAAGUCCCUUGAACUUUCCAAGGUUCCAGAUGUGCACCCUGCAUUCUUGCUGGAAUCUGUAGUGACUACCAACAAAGUCACAUCUUCCAAAGAAAAUAGCUGUGACAAGUUUUGUUUCUUUUACACAUUUAGUGAAUAUGGUCUCUCAUGAUGCUGAAAGAAGUCUGUUGAUAUCAAAUAAGACCUUAUUGUUAAGAGACAAUGUCUUUCUUUGGUGUUUUUGAUCUUAAAAAGUGAUUCCUUCUUGGAAGACCUAGAUAUUCCAGUCUAUAUCCAUUGCUUAAAAUGGAUAGAAAUCAGCUGUCUGUAUUUAUCUUUUCCCGGGUCCUCCAGAAUUUUUGGAGACCACCACCUUCUCUUCAGAAGGCUCUAUCUGAUCCCUUAAAAGCUGCUGAGAAUUGUUGUCUUCCUUCUCUUGUCGACUGACCUUCCUUUAAAUUACUAGACCCUUUUGUAUUAUUUCCCGUGUCUAGUAUCCUCUAUAGUCCAAAAAGGAAACUCUGUCUUGAUUAGAAUGAUGUUCAUUCCAGGACUGAGGGCUAGUGAUGUCCCGAACGGUUCGCUGGCGAAUAUUUCCUGGCGAACAUCGCUUGUUCGCGUUCGCCACGGAUGGUGAACAUAUGCGCUGUUCGGUCCGCCCCCUAUUCAUCAUCAUUGAGUAAACGUUGACCCUGUACCUCACAGUCAGCAGACAUAUUCCAGCCAAUCAGCAGCAGACCCUCCCUCCCAGACCCUCCCACCUCCUG